GUCAGCUGGGGCGUGCGAGCUGUAAAUCAGGUUCGUGGCGGCUCUGAGAAGGGACGCGCCCAGAAAAGUGUCCGAGGGAGACAGGAGCUCUGCGCUGCUGAGUCCAGGCUUCUGGAAACGACGGGCGCUGGGGGCCAUGGAGCCACGUGCAAAAAGACUGGACGCGGGCAAAUGGACUGCAAGGGAACGAGUCCCGGCGAGAAAGCAGGAGCGAUCCCGGGAAGCGGAGUUCUCAAGGCUGCUGGCUGCGCUUUGCCGGAUCUCCUGGAUUCUGACACGUGUGACCCAGUUUGACAACAGAAUAACAGGUACAGGAGCUCUGUCAAGACAAGUCCUUUGGAAGGUUACUCUUUUAUGAAAAGUAUCCCAAGUGCCUGACUCUUUUCGGUAACUGUAUGUGCAUGGAGUCUCAGGGCCCUUCUGCUGGGAAAGUUCCAUCAAAUAUUACCCAGGUGAUCAGAAUGAGAAGUUGGCCAUUUUUGUAUGAAAUCACCCUGCUGGUCAGACUCUCACUCUAGUUCUUCAGUUCUAAACUAAAACUACUGCAGACUUUGAGCCAACAUGUUGUUAGGGGGAGAUGGCCUAGGAAUCUAGAUGCAGAUGUUUUGGGUACAAGUUCUGUCUAUUAUUUCUUUCCUAUCUAAAAAAACCUAUUACUCACUUACACUUGUUAUUAUCAUCAUCAUUCUUAGUAAUAUGAUCAUGGAUAUUAAACGUAGCAUCAAUCAAUAGCAAACUGAAAAUGUCUUUUUCUGUGUGUUUAAUCAGAGUGAUUUGCUUUUCCCUUCUAGUGUCAGAUCUAAAGUGAAAUUGCAUCUCUUUACAUCCUUCCUCAUUUCUUUCAGACAGUGUCUUGGCAAACAUGUCAGUGCAUCCAAGCCUAAAUUUCCUUGAUCAGUCAUGUCUCUUCAACUUAACAAAGCCAGUUUAAUUCAAAGAGUUCUAAACAAGAAUGUUUUGACAGCCUACCAUGAGCAAGGUGCUGUGAUAGUGCUGCACAUACAGAAUUGUAGAACUGGGUCCUGCUUUGGCAGAGCUGAAUUUUAAGGGGAGAGCAAAGACACAGACAAGAGAACAUGAAGAUACAGCUGAAUCUUGUUCCCUGUGACAGUGGAUUUGCUGCCUGGAAAGCAAACUGGAAUAUUUGAAAGACUCACUAAAGCCAAUAUUUUGCAUAAGCUGAGGAAAAAAGACAAUGGUAGGGUAAAAAUGAGGGAAAAGGAAACCAAGGAAAGAAGGCAAACAAUCAAAAUGACAAAUAGGAGAUAUAAGUAAAUAAAGUAAGUGGAUGAAAGUAUGAACAGCAGAGGAAGUAGAGGGUUGGAAGCUCUGGUCAAGAGAGCCGAUAGCGGUAAGUUGAAGGGGUUCAUGAGAAUAACAUGGAAUGGCUGCACCUGAUUUGGGGGGGAAUCUAGUGAGGAGAUGUGGGUUUGAUCCCUGGGUUGGGAAGAUCCCCUGGAGAAAGAA
rnacentral:lncRNA from 1 species